rnacentral:rRNA from 1 species
GGUCGGGACGGUCGGUCCGCCCCUCACGGGGUGUGCACCAUGGCCUGUUCCGGCCAUCCUCGGGGAGAACGUCUGCUGGCAUUAAGUUGUCGGUGGCGGUAUCCCCGUCAUUUACUGUGAGCAAAAUAGAGUGUUCAAAGCAGGCUUAAGCCGUUGAAUACAUUAGCAUGGAAUAAUAAGAUACGACCUUGGGUCUAUUUUGUUGGUUUGCGGUCCGAGGUA